ensembl:ncRNA T25C12.7 ncRNA
UGUUGUUGCGGCACCAUUCGAAAUGAGAAGAACGUGUGGGGUGGCAGAAGCAAAAAUGCAACACAUAUACACAGAGCAUGUGAGACGGAGAACAAGAAAUAGAGAGUGGGAGCAAGAAGGGCGCAGCGGGGAGAGAACUGAGAAAAGUGUGCUCUUUUGCUCACGCGCUUCCCCGGGCGGCAGUCGUACGCUGCCAUUGCUUUUCGUACUAUUCCAACAGCGCCGGGGCGAAUGCAAGUUUGCAUGCAUUAAAUAAAUGGGUGGCAUAGAGACCUGCCAUUGAACAUGACCAGGUUUUGAAAAUGGCUUGGGAAGCAACAUCGAAUUUAAAACGAAACGUGUAAGUAAGGCCUCG